GCGGCCGUAGCUCAGUGGAUAGAGCGUCUGCCUCCGGAGCAGAAGGUCGGAGGUUCGAGUCCUCUCGGCCGCG
rnacentral:tRNA from 1 species